UUGAAAGGGAAACGAUUGAAGUCAGUCGUACCGACGAGAAAUCAGCUUUUCGAAUGUGCAUUUGUGGGCGUAUGAGAUCUUCAUUGUUUGCAAUAUGUAUGUUUCUUUGGUGUACUUUUUCGUAUGGUAGGUCAACGUCGGUUUUGGUCGCCAUAAAAUGAUCGGAGGAAUGUAGCUUCGACCUCGGUUGAAGUGUUAUAGCCUUUGGUAAAUGUGGUGAUUAAGACCGAGGAUUGCAACGAAUACCUUUUAGGCUAUCCGUCUGACCUCUGAAAGUUACUUAGGUGUCGAAAGCUUGCUUACGGUCAUUUAAGUUGACGGUCAAUAGGUUAGAACGUGAUUACAUUCGUUAAGGAUGUUGACGUA
rnacentral:rRNA from 1 species